CAAAGCCCCUGCGGUUAAGGGAUGGCCUCAUCCAAGUUUGCAGCAAAUUCCAGCCAUAGAAUUUCCCAUAUUGCUGAACCACAGAAUGAGAUUUAGUGAAAAGCCACGGAGCAAUAAUUUACAUGAUGGAAGCCAGAAGCACCGGAAGUGAAUACAGAGAAGAGAAUGAAGAGAACAGAAGAGAUGCAAAGGCUUUCCUCUCUCCUUUUCCCAACUCUGCUCCACCUCUCACAGAGAAAUAGGACAGUGAUGUCCACCAAGGAGAAAAUCACAUAUUUUGAGAUUUGUGUUAUAUGAAUGUGUGCAAGAAUUCUGUAAGAAAAUUGUGAUUUACACUUGUGAAUGAAUAAUCAUGGAGAUCCCAGAAUUAACAAGGUCAUUGUCAUCAUCAUCUACUAUUACUAUUAAACAUUAUCAUAAUAGCUAUUA